CCCUUACACCAGAUUCGAUUCUGCAUCAUCGCCUCACCGACGGAACGAUGGAAUCGCCGUAACUCCAAAUGUUGAUCUCCUAGGCCUCCGAGUUCACAGUGCACGUUUUAUUUAGAUGUCGGAGUUGGGUCUUCUCCUCGAAUUCCUUCUCCUAUUCUUUGAUAAAUUUUAUUACAGAAGUCUGAGGAAAUGAGCCACUAAUGGAAGCUACAGAAUCAAGGCCAGCUCGGCAGCGCAUUGCAAGCCGUUGCCUAGUCCAGGAAGAUGCAGAAGGAGCUCCAAGGUUGGCUUGCUGUCCAUCAUAUACCUCGGUGAACAUUCUGGGCUAUGAGAAUACUGCAAUGGCACAAGAUUAUCAUGUCCCGGAAUUCAUGCCAUCAAACAGGAACCCCAUGAAUCCUAAUCUAUCUCCUGAAACAAAAGGGCGACUUCAGCUCCAACCCUGAAGGAUUUUACUUGUGAGCAACUAAGUUCCAUAGAAUGCGAAGUUAUCAAGAAGUAUACGGAAACUGCAGUCCCAACAUCAAAGUUGGAUGUGGGGGGGGGGGGGGGGGGGUCUUUACCAGUUAACUUUAUUAAAUUUGUACUUAAAAGGGAAGAUCUGGUAUCAACAGCUUCCAUGAAGAGUGGUUCUGGAACUAGGGUCAAAGAGAUGAAUACAACAACCAUCUAUUCACAACAGCCACUAAAGCAGCAGACAAAUAUGGAUUUUGUUUACAAGGUGGAAAAUCUUUUGGAUCUGAAGCCAGUUGAUCAGUUAGCUUUGAGGAAGUCAGACGAGGCUUCUUCAUACCUUGAAACGCCUUGGUCUGGGUGUAACAAGCCUGAGGGAUGGUGGCGUAUUGCAGAUAAAGAUGAUUUGGCUUUGUUGGUUGCCCAAAAAUCACUGCAGCAUAUUGAAAAUUGUGAUCUGCCCGAACCCACCCAGACAGUUCAUUAUAUGAAGGACUUAUUUUCUUCUAUUGAGAAUUUGGAUGCUAGUGAAAUAUUUCAAUCAUCAUUUGGCAUAUACAAUGCCAAUGAGUAUUCA